rnacentral:tRNA from 1 species
AUUUAAAUAGCUUAAAUUUAGAGCAUAAUAUUGAAGAUAUUAAGGUAGUAAAAAUUACUUUUAAGUA